ensembl:ncRNA C18F3.6 ncRNA
UCGAACUUCGUUCGAUACUCUUUUUCUAUCCUGAAAUUGGAAUAAAGCUUGCGAAGAAUUUUGAGAGAAGUUCGGAGAAAAAACAACGAGAAAUGAAAAAAAAGGAAACGUUAAG